UCGGCAGCAUUUUCCCUCCAGAGAGCUGAGCCCUCACGGCCACAGAGGCUGGGGGACGAGGGCGGGCGGAGCAGGGGCAGUGGCUUAGCGAAAGCCAGGGUUGCAGGUCCAGAGGGUUGCUGAGGCUCUCAGGCGGUGACUACAAAAUGUGGACCAAGCAGCAGAAUCACCUGGAUGGCAUGCACCCUACUUCCCAUGUGAUGACGUCACUGAGCAAAGCUGGGAACAGAAGUGGCCCCUCGGCGCCUGUGAGCUGGGAAGGGAAAAGAAGCUUGGAGAACUAUUACACUUGGCCUCCAUCUCGUAUUGAUCACGGAGCCAGGAUCUGACCCUAAAUCUUGCUGAUUCCAGAAACCUUAUUAAGAAUACACACGUCAAGGUUUGCAGUUGGUUUCCUUCUUUUCCUCAUCGCUUUGUGGGAGGAUCGAGUCACAUUACAUCCACAAAACACCUGACCCACAUCCAGCUGCUGGUAUGCUCAUGCAAGAUGGUGGGUCCCGUCCUUCCUAUGAUGAUCUCCACAUUCCCUGAACAGACCCCCGUAAGUGAGUCUUCUCUUCAAAGUAUUCCCAAAGCAGAGGCCUCUUUAGCCGCAAAACAAAGUAAGGCCACGUGUUGUACACAGAGGUUUUAUCAUUACUCAUAUGCCCCUUAGUCCUCUGACCCCCCGUCUAUGGCUAAAAUAAAUGGAGAAAUA